rnacentral:rRNA from 1 species
CCCUUAGAUGUUCUGGGCUGCACGCGCGCUACACUGAAGCUAUCAACACGUUUUCCCUCCCUGAGAAGGGCGGGUAACCUUUUGAAUCAGCUUCGUGGUAGGGAUCGGGGCUUGCAAUUGUUCCCCGUGAACCAGGAAUUCCUAGUAGACGCGAGUCAUAAGCUCGCAUCGAUUAAGUCCCUGCCCUUUGUACACACCGCCCGUCGCUACAACCGAUUGAACGUUUUAGUGAGGCAUUUGGACCGACGCAUCUCAGUUUAACCGCUGGUUUGUGUUGGAAAGACUUCCAAACUUGAGCGUUUAGAGGAAGUAAAAGUCGUAACA